GCCGGGCGUGGUGGCGGGCGCCUGUAGUCCCAGCUACUCGGGAGGCUGAGGCAGGGGAAUGGCGUGAACCCGGGAGGCGGAGCUUGCAGUGAGCCAAGAUCAGGCCACUGCACUCCAGCCUGGGUGACAGAGCGAGACUCUGCCUCAA
rnacentral:SRP_RNA from 1 species